GGGGGCGUAGCUCAGUUGGUAGAGCGUUCGCUUUGCAUGUGAAAGUCCCGGGUUCAAGCCCCGGCGCCUCCA
rnacentral:tRNA from 1 species